rnacentral:rRNA from 1 species
AAACCAGCACCUCAAGUGGUCAGGAUGAUUAUUGGGCCUAAAGCAUCCGUAGCCGGCUCUGUAAGUUUUCGGGUAAAUCUGUACGCUUAACGUACAGGCUGCUGGGAAUACUGCAGAGCUAGGGAGUGGGAGAGGUAGACGGUAUUCGGUAGGAAGGGGUAAAAUCCUUUGAUCUAUUGAGGACCACCUGUGGCGAAGGCGGUCUACCAGAACACGUUCGACGGUGAGGGAUGAAAGCUUGGGGAGCAAACCGAAUUAGAAACCCGUGUAGUCC